rnacentral:rRNA from 1 species
AUUGAACGCUGGCGGCAGGCCUAACACAUGCAAGUCGAGCGGCAGCGGGAAAGUAGCUUGCUACUUUUGCCGGCGUGCGGCGGACGGGUGAGUAAUGCCUGGGAAAUUGCCCAGUCGAGGGGGAUAACAGUUGGAAACGACUGCUAAUACCGCAUACGCCCUACGGGGGAAAGCAGGGGACCUUCGGGCCUUGCGCGAUUGGAUAUGCCCAGGUGGGAUUAGCUAGUUGGUGAGGUAAUAGCUCACCAAGGCGACGAUCCCUAGCUGGUCUGAGAAGAUGAUCAGCCACACUGGAACUGAGACACGGUCCAGACUCCUACGGGAGGCAGCAGUGGGGAAUAUUGCACAAUGGGGGAAACCCUGAUGCAGCCAUGCCGCGUGUGUGAAGAAGGCCUUCGGGUUGUAAAGCACUUUCAGCGAGGAGGAAAGGUUGUUGGCUAAUAUCCAACAGCUGUGACGUUACUCGCAGAAGAAGCACCGGCUAACUCCGUGCAGCAGCCGCGGUAAGAC